UUAAGCAUAUCAAUAAGCGGAGGAAAAGAAACUAACAAGGAUUCCCCUAGUAACUGCGAGUGAAGAGGGAAAAGCUCAAAUUUAAAAUCUGGCAGCUUCGCUGUCCGAGUUGUAAUUUAGAGAAGUGUUGCCCGCGCUGGACCGUGUACAAGUCUCCUGGAAUGGAGCGUCAUAGAGGGUGAGAAUCCCGUCUUUGACACGGACUCCCAGUGCAUUGUGGUACGCUCUCAAAGAGUCGUGUUGUUUGGGAAUGCAGCACUAAAUGGGUGGUAAAUUCCAUCUAAAGCUAAAUAUUGGCGAGAGACCGAUAGCAAACAAGUACCGUGAGGGAAAGAUGAAAAGAACUUUGGAAAGAGAGUUAAACAGUACGUGAAAUUGUUGAAAGGGAAACGCUUAAAGUCCAGUCGCGUCGGUUGGGAAUCAGUCUCGCUCUUUUGCUUGACGUACUUCCCAGCUGACGGGUCAGCAUCAGUUUUGAUCGUUGGAUAAAGGUUGGAGGAAUGUGGCACCUUCGGGUGUGUUAUAGCCUCUGGUUGUAUACAACGGUUGGGACUGAGGAACUCAGCACGCCGAAAGGCCGGGUACUUGUACCACGUACGUGCUUAGGAUGCUGGCAUAAUGGCUUUAAUCGACCCGUCUUGAAACACGGACCAAGGAGUCUAACAUGCCUGCGAG
rnacentral:rRNA from 1 species